UACAAUUUCAAGUAGAACAAUUAUGAGCCUU
rnacentral:piRNA from 1 species